rnacentral:rRNA from 1 species
AGAGCGCAGGGUGGAUGCCUUGGCACUAAGAGCCGAUGAAAGACGUGAUAAGCUGCGAAAAGCUUCGGGGAGGAGCAAAUAUCCGAUGAUCCGGAGAUAUCUGAAUGGGGAAACCCGGCUGGACAGACUCCAGUCAUCCAUACGCCAAUCCAUAACGUAUGGAAGGGAACCCGGUGAACUGAAACAUCUAAGUAGCCGGAGGAAGAGAAAACAACAAGUGAUUCUGUGAGUAGCGGCGAGCGAAAACGGAAGAGCCCAAACCGGAAUGCGUGCAUUCCGGGGUUCGGACCGCGUAAUUGAUCUGAUAAGUUUAGCAGAAUGGUUUUGGGAAAGCCAGCCAGAGAGGGUGAAAGCCCCGUAAGCGAAAGACGAGUCAGCAAGGCGGGAUCCAGAGUACCACGAGACACGAGAAACCUUGUGGGAAUGAGCGGGGACCACCCCGUAAGGCUAAAUACUCCUUAGUGACCGAUAGCGCAUAGUACUGUGAAGGAAAGGUGAAAAGGACCCCGGGAGGGGAGUGAAAGAGAACCUGAAACCCUGUGUUUACAAGCUGUGGAACAUCUUUAAAUGAUGAACCGCGUACUUUUUGUAGAACGGUCCGGCGAGUUACGCCAUCUGGCGAGGUUAAGUUCUUAAGGAAUGGAGCCGAAGUGAAAACAAGUCUUAAUAGGGCGUGAAGUCAGAUGGAGUAGACCCGAAACCGGGUGAUCUAUCCAUGUCCAGGAUGAAGUUGCCGUAAAAGGCAAUGGAGGUCCGAACCCACAUCCGUUGAAAAGGGUGGGGAUGAGGUGUGGAUAGGGGAGAAAUUCCAAUCGAACCCGGAGAUAGCUGGUUCUCCUCGAAAUAGCUUUAGGGCUAGCCUCAUGAGAGUCUUUUGGAGGUAGAGCACUGAAUUCCCGCGGGGGCGUCAAAGCUUACCAAAGGAUAUCAAACUCCGAAUGCCAGUAAGAUGAUUCAUGGGAGUCAGACUACACGAGAUAAGUUGGGUAGUCAAAAGGGAAAGAGCCCAGACCUGCAGCUAAGGUCCCAAAAUGUGUGUUAAGUGGAAAAGGAUGUGGGAUUUCAAAGACAACCAGGAUGUUGGCUUAGAAGCAGCCAUACAUUAAAAGAGUGCGUAAUAGCUCACUGGUCGAGAGGUCCUGCGCCGAAAAUGUCCGGGGCUGAAACACACUACCGAAGCUCAGGAAUUAACGUAGUUAAUUGGUAGAGGAGCAUUCUUAAAGGGAAGAAGCAGUACCGGAAGGAGCUGUGGACUUUUAAGAAGAGAGAAUGCCGGAAUGAGUAGCGAGAGGAAGGUGAGAAUCCUUCCGGCCGAAUACCCAAGGUUUCCAGAGUAAAGCUGAUCUGCUCUGGGUAAGUCGGGGCCUAAGGUGAGGUCGAAAGACGUAGCCGAUGGACAACAGGUUGAAAUUCCUGUACUGCAGUAUAACAGAACUGUGGGGACGCAGAGGGAGAGCACUAGCGGGAAUGGAAUCCCGUGGCAAGCGAGGUAGGAGUCGCGUUGGCAAAUCCGCGUGACNNNNNNNNNNGCACUAGCGGGAAUGGAAUCCCGUGGCAAGCGAGGUAGGAGUAGAGUUGGCAAAUCCGCUCUAUAAUCCGAAGACGUGAUGCAUACCGAACUAAAGUAGGGAAAUGUGUGAGCCAGCUGCCAAGAAAAGCCGCUAUUGUUUGUACUGUACCCGUACCGUAAACCGACACAGGUAGGUGAGGAGAGAAUCCUAAGGCCGACGGGAGAAGCAUUGUUAAGGAACUCGGCAAAAUGACUCCGUAACUUCGGGAGAAGGAGUGCCAGUGAGAGCUGGCCGCAGAGAAUUGGCCCAAGCAACUGUUUAGCAAAAACACAGGUCUAUGCAAAACCGUAAGGUGAAGUAUAUGGGCUGACGCCUGCCCGGUGCUGGAAGGUUAAGGGGAGAGGUUAGCGCAAGCGAAGCUUUGAACUUAAGCCCCAGUAAACGGCGGCCGUAACUAUAACGGUCCUAAGGUAGCGAAAUUCCUUGUCGGGUAAGUUCCGACCCGCACGAAAGGCGUAAUGAUUUGGGCACUGUCUCAACAAUGCACCCGGUGAAAUUGAAAUACCAGUGAAGAUGCUGGUUACCUGCGCCAGGACGGAAAGACCCCAUGGAGCUUUACUCCAGCUUGAUACUGGGAUUCGAUAUUGUAUGUACAGGAUAGGUGGGAGGCGAAGAAGCAUUGACGCCAGUUGAUGCGGAGCCGCUGUUGGGAUACCACCCUUGCAGUAUUGGAUUUCUAACCAGCAGCCGUGACCCGGCUGGGGGACAAUGUCAGGUGGGGAGUUUGACUGGGGCGGUCGCCUCCGAAAGGGUAUCGGAGGCGCUCAAAGGUUCCCUCAGAAUGGUUGGAAACCAUUCGAAGAGUGCAAAGGCAGAAGGGAGCUUGACUGCGACACCGACGGGUGGAGCAGGUACGAAAGUAGGACUUAGUGAUCCGGUGGUAUAAAGUGGGAUUGCCAUCGCUCAACGGAUAAAAGCUACCCUGGGGAUAACAGGCUUAUCACUCCCAAGAGUUCACAUCGACGGAGUGGUUUGGCACCUCGAUGUCGGCUCAUCGCAUCCUGGGGCUGAAGUAGGUCCCAAGGGUUGGGCUGUUCGCCCAUUAAAGCGGUACGCGAGCUGGGUUCAGAACGUCGUGAGACAGUUCGGUCCCUAUCCGGCGUGGGCGUAGGAUAUUUGAGAGGAGCUGGCCUUAGUACGAGAGGACCGGGCUGGACUGACCGCUGGUGUAUCUGUUGUUCCGCCAGGAGCAUGGCAGAGUAGCCAAGUCAGGAAGGGAUAAACGCUGAAGGCAUCUAAGCGUGAAGCCCCCCUCAAGAUGAGAUAUCCCAACGAAAGUUGU